rnacentral:rRNA from 1 species
CCGCGGUACCCUAACCGUGCGAAGGUAGCAUAAUCACUUGUUUCUUAAAUAGGGACUAGUAUCAAUGGCAUCACGAAGACUACACUGUCUCCCCCCUAAAAUCAAUGAAACUGAUCUUCUCGUGAAGAAGCGAGAAUACAAAUAUAAGACGAGAAGACCCCAUGGAGCUUUAAAUGAACCUCAACGCUAUCCUAUACCAUAGAAACUGAGCGUUAUGAUGUGUAAUUUUCGGUUGGGGUGACCGCGGAAUAAAACAAAACCUCCGCAAUGAAUGUAACAAAACACUAAUAAAAGAACCACAGUUCUAAUAAUCAAUAAAUUGACAUAAUUGAUCCAAACACCUGAUCAAUGAACCAAGUUACCCUGGGGAUAACAGCGCAAUCCAUUUAAAGAGCCCCUAUCAACAAAUGGGU